rnacentral:lncRNA from 1 species
CUUCUACGGACAGAUUCUUUUAUUGUUGUUGUUUACUCAUUUUCCCCAGAAUAUUUCUUUUCUUUGGACUUUAUUUUAUAGUUAGGCUCUGCUCCAAGGAUGGCCAUGAAGGAGCACUGAGUCAAGCUUUAGGCUUUUUCACCUAGAUCUUCUCAGAGCUAAUUCUGGGGUUAGGAAAAUUCCCACUGCUUUCAAGAUGGUAUGAUUUAGGGAGAAGUGUGAUCACCACUAACCAAGGAAGCACCUUUGAUCCCUUUCAGCUGCAACUACUACUGUUUCUCUGGACUACUGACCUAUUGGGACUAAAAGAGAUUUUCUCCAUCUAGAACUGUGCUCUGAUAACAGGAAUGCUCUCUGCACAGAGCAAGGUCCAACACUGUUUCCUUAAGAAGCCAAAAGUUUGGAUUGUUGCCCCAGGAAACAUAUAAUCGAGGUCGGAAAGAGUCAAGAAAAUGAUUACCUCUCAUUGGACCUAUCCCAGUACCUCAUUCUCCAUCAUCUUUGGCUCUUCUGGAACCUCAUAUGCUCAAGACAAUAAGGGGAGGGAACUUCCUUCCUAAACAUAGUUGAUGUGCUCACAUGGGGAAAGAAUGUAAUCAUGGAACAGAGAGGAAAUAUUGCUACAACCGUAUAACAAUAAACAAAUGAAUUCCUUUACCA